AGUGAACGCUGGCGGUAGGCCUAACACAUGCAAGUCGAACGGCAGCACAGUAAGAGCUUGCUCUUACGGGAGGCGAGUGGCGGACGGGUGAGGAAUACAUCGGAAUCUACUUUUUCGUGGGGGAUAACGUAGGGAAACUUACGCGAAUACCGCAUACGACCUACGGGUGAAAGCAGGGGAUCUUCGGACCUUGCGCGAGUGAAUGAGCCGAUGUCGGAUUAGCUAGUUGGCGGGGUAAAGGCCCACCAAGGCGACGAUCCGUAGCUGGUCUGAGAGGAUGAUCAGCCAGACUGGCACUGAGAAACGGCCCAGACUCCUACGGGAGGCCGCAGUGGGGAAUAUUGGACAAUGGGGGAAAGCCUGAUCCAGCCAUACCGCGUGGGUCAAGAAGGCCUUAGGGUUGUAAAGCCAUUUUGUUGGGAAAGAAAAGCAGCAGGUUAAUACGCCGCUGUUCUGACGGUACCCAAAGAAUAAGCACCGGCUAACUUCGUG
rnacentral:rRNA from 1 species